GGCGCAGGCGGAGAUGUAAGCCAGACGUGAAAGCCCGGGGCUCAACCCCGGAAUUGCAUUUGGAACUACAUUUCUUGAGGAUAGGCGGAGAAAACGGAAUUCUGCAUGUAGCGGUGAAAUGCGUAGAUAUGCAGAAGAACACCGGUGGCGAAGGCGGUUUUUCUAGCUUAUUCCUGACGCUGAGGCCCGAAAGCUAGGGGAGCGAACA
rnacentral:rRNA from 1 species